AUGUCAAUAGCAAUCGAUGCAGCAAGAGGGCUGUGUUACAUGCACCACAGUUGCUCUCCUGCUAUAGCACACCGUGAUGUGAAGUCCAGCAACAUCCUACUGGGUCCUCAGUUCAAAGCAAAGAUUGCGGACUUUGGCCUAGCUCGCUCUCUACUUAAAGCUGGCGAGCCAGAGUCUGUCUCGGCUGUGGUUGGGUCCUUCGGAUACAUAGCUCCAGAGUUCGGAAGCUCGAGAAAAAUGAACGAGAAAGUUGAUGUGUACAGCUUUGGGGUUGUUCUCUUGGAGCUGGUAACAGGGAGGCGUGCAAAUGGUGGGGGCGGGUACGAGAAUUUGGCGCAAUGGGCAUGGAGGCAAUUUCAUCAAGAUGAGAGCAUCCAAUUGACAAAUGUGAUUGAUGCAGACAUACGAGAUCCAGCCUACUCGCGUGAGGUACAACUGGUGUUCAAGCUAGGGCUAAUUUGCACGGGCACAAACCCAUCAUCACGGCCGUCCAUGAAGCAGGUGCUGCAGGUCCUGCAACGCUGA
rnacentral:rRNA from 1 species